AUGCGGUUCUGUGGUGCAGCAGAUGAUACAUGGCGGCACUCCUUGCUCGAUUGCACCAUGGCGAGAUGUGUGUGGGCACUUAUUGAUGAAUCAUUGACUGAACACAUGAGCAUGUCCAACUGUUUGGAUGCCAAGGAGUGGCUGUUCCAUAUGUUAGAAUCAGUGCCGCACGUGGAGUUCACCAAAAUGAUCAUCACUUUGUGGGUGAUUUGGGCGGCGAGGCGGAAAAAGCAAGGCAAAGUAGGGCAGCGGACUAUGCAAGUACGGAAGUGGAUUCCACCUACAGGAGGAUUGAUUAAAAUGAACGUUGAUGGUGGCGUGGCUAAGAACUGCAGAAAGGGAGGAGCAGCAGCGGUGUGCCGCGACGACCAGGGGGUCUACCUCGGUUCGUCAGCACGCAUUAUCGAUCAGUGUGAUGACCCAGGAACUUUGGAAGCAAUGGCAUGUCUAGAAGCAUUAUCUCUUGCAGCUGAUCUCAAUUUGAGCUGAAUCAUUAUUGCAUGUGACUCGGAAUCAGUUGUCAAGCAAAUCAAUGAAGGAAGCUACAGCGUCUAUAGUAGUCCCGGUCACCGUCGCUCCCGCCCGCAAGGACAGGCUUGCUCGCGUGGCGGCCCACGCGAGUGA
rnacentral:rRNA from 1 species